GCUGAGGAGAUUGGAAGGAAAAGGGAAAAUUUUGUGGUAACAGUCUACAGAAGAGUAACAGAGGUGAUCAAUAGAAAUCACUAGAAAAACUGGAUUUGCUUUGUCUAGACAGAAAAAGACUAAGGUAA
rnacentral:lncRNA from 1 species